GAUGAACGCUGGCGGCGUGCCUAAUACAUGCAAGUCGAGCGAACAGAAGAGAAGCUUACUUCUCUGAUGUUAGCGGCGGACGGGUGAGCACCACGUGGGUAACCUACCUAUAAGACUGGGAUAACUCCGGGAAACCGGGGCUAAUACCGGAUAAUAUUUUGAACCGCAUGGUUCAAUAGUGAAAGACGGUUUCGGCUGUCACUUAUAGAUGGACCCGCGCCGUAUUAGCUAGUUGGUAAGGUAACGGCUUACCAAGGCGACGAUACGUAGCCGACCUGGGAGGGUGAUCGGCCACACUGGAACUGAGACACGGUCCAGACUCCUACGGGAGGCAGCAGUAGGGAAUCUUCCGCAAUGGGCGAAAGCCUGACGGAGCAACGCCGCGUGAGUGAUGAAGGUCUUCGGAUCGUAAAACUCUGUUGUUAGGGAAGAACAAAUUUGUUAGUAACUGAACAAGUCUUGACGGUACCUAACCAGAAAGCCACGGCUAACUACGUGCCAGCCGCCGCCGUAA
rnacentral:rRNA from 1 species